GGUCGGUUUCCAUAAGGGCGUACGGUGGAUGCCUUGACACGAAACAGCGAUGAAGGACGUGACGUAGCUGCGAUAAGCCUCGGGGAGGUGUGUAGUAACCUGCGAUCCGGGGAUUUCCGAAUGGGGCAACCCAGUUGAGUAAACCUCAAUUGUCCCGAUGCAUAAGACAUCGUGGAAGCGAACCUGGGGAAGUGAAACAUCUCAGUACCCAGAGGAAAAGAAAACGAAGUGUGCUUUGCACACAACAUUCCCUUAGUAGCGGCGAGCGAAAAGGGACAAGCCCAAACCAAGUGCUCAAGCAAUUGAGUGCUUGGGGUUGUAAGGUAGAGACUUUCUCUUUGGGUCGCAAAGCCCUAAAUCCGCUUAGUUGCGGAUCAGGGUUCUGCGACUGUGAAGAGAGGAAAGUUACAAAUCUGUGUGUUAGUCGAACAGGCUGGAAAGCCUGGCCAAAGCGGGUGAAAGCCCCGUAGGCAAAAACAAACAGACUUUCUGUUUCUGUCCUUGAGUACCUCGAUACAUGAAAGUGUUGGGGGAACCAUCCCGGACUAUCGGGAAAGGCUAAAUAUGUUUCGUGAUCGAUAGUGAAGAGUACCGUGAGGGAAAGGUGAAAAGCAGCCCGGUGAGGGCGGUGAAAUAGACCUGAAACCGUAUGCUUACAUAGAGUCGGAGCUUGUGCUUCGCACAAGGAAAUUCGAAACUCUAAUUCUAAAUUUUAAAUCAAAUUUGAAAUUAGAAUUUUAGAAUUUGGAUUUUCUCGCGCGGAGCGCGAGUGACGGCGUGCCUAUUGAAGAAUGAGCCAACGAGUUUAUGUGUACUGCAAGUCUAAGCGUAACUUACGCGGAGACGCAGCGAAAGCAAGUGUUAACAGCGCGUGCGGACUUCAGUAAAGCAUUCGAAGUGAUUCGGGUGCUUGAUGAAGUCCGAAAGUAGUAUGCAUAAGACCCGAAACCAAGCGAGCUUACCUUGGCCAGGAUGAACUUCGACGAAAGUCGAAGGGAGGUCCGCACCGGUUAGUGAGGCAAAACCAUCGGAUGAGCUGAGGUAAGGAGUGAAAAGCUAAUCGAGCUUGGUAAUAGCUGGUUCUCUCCGAAACAGUUUUAGGACUGGCGUCUCGUGUUCCACAUUGGGGGUAGAGCACUGGAUGGUCUGUAAUGGGCGCAAGCUCGGCAGACCAAUCAAACUCCGAAUACCAGUGUGCUAAAACGAGGCAGUUAGACUGUGGGGGCUAAGCUCCAUGGUCGCGAGGGGAAAAGCCCAGACCGUCGUCUAAGGUCCCUAAAUAUCUGCUAAGUGUUAAAGGUAGUGAUUCACCAUAGACAGAUAGGAGGUUGGCUUAGAGGUAGCCAUCCUUUAAAGAGUGUGUAACAACUCACUAUUCGAUGGUGGAUUGCGCCGAAAAUUUACCGGGGCUAAGCAGAUUACCGAAGACACGGAUCAUGCGCAUCUCACUAAGGCGAGAUGCUCAAAAUUCAAAAUGUAAAUCUCAAAAUGAAAAAUGACAGUUUAAAGUGUCAAAAUGCGUUAUGAGCAAAGACAUUUUAAAAUUUUUACAUUGUCAUUUUAAUCUUUGAUUUUUCAAUUUUGCAUUAGCGAGCACCGAACUUUAGUGAGGUGCGUGUGGUGGUAGGAGAGCGUUCCUAGUGCAGCGAAGCUUACGACGUGAGUCGGAGUGGAGCGCUGGGAAGUGAGAAUGUUGGCAUGAGUAACCGAAAAAGCCGGUGAGAAACCGGCUCCCCGAAAAUCUAAGGUUUCCGUGGCAAUGGCAAUCAGCCACGGGUUAGGCGGUCCUAAGGCAAUGGCGAAAGCCGCAGUCGAUGGACAGCUGGUUAAUAUUCCAGCCCUUCAUUGUUUUUCGAUGGGGUGACGAAGUGUAGUAAGUUAAGCGCCUUAGUGGUUUGGCGUCCUUGAUCUAAGGGUGCGCGUUUGGUAAAUCCGGCGUGCAUAAGCCCAAGGAUAGAGGUAAGGUAGAGUUUUUGCUCUGCCAAGUUGACCGAGCACGCUUCCCAGAAAAACCUCUAAGAUUAGAAAUAGUGAAUCCGUACCAUAAACCGACACAGGUGGAUAGGGCGAGUAGCCCAAGGGGAAUGAGUGAUUUCUCGUCAAGGAACUCGGCAAAAAAGCGGCCGUAACUUCGGGAUAAGGCCUGCCCUGCGCAAGCGGGGCCGCAGCUAAAGUAUCUCUGGCGACUGUUUAACAAAAACACAGCUCCCUGCGAACUCGUAAGAGGAUGUAUAGGGGGUGACGCCUGACCGAUGCGAGAAGGUUAAACCUGGCGGUUCUUGUUGGAUUUAUCCAGUGAGAGCUAACUGGGCGAAGCCCUCGUCAAUGUCGGCCUUAACUAUAAGGGUCCAAAGGUAGCGCAUUUCCUUUCCGGGUAAGUUCCGGAGCGCACGAAUGGCGUAACGACUGGAGAACUGUCUCGACGAGAAGCUCAGUGAAAAUGCAAUCCCAGUGAAGAUGCUGGGUACCUGCAGCGGGACGAGAAGACCCCGGGAGCUUUACUGUAGCUUGGCAUUGGCUUUAAGGUUUAUUUGCGCAGCGUAGCGGGGAGGCUUUGAAACCUCAUUUUCGGGUGAGGUGGAGCCGCCAAUGAGACACCCGUCUUGUAAACUUUAAAAUCUAACCUCAAGGGAAAAAACCAUGGGGAACAGUGUCUGGUGGGCAGUUUGAAUGGGGCGUUCUCCUCCUAAAGAGUAACGGAGGAGCUUAUUAAGGUCGGCUUAGCCCGGAUGGAAAUCGGGCUGGAUGUGUAAAGGCAUAAGCCGGCUUGACUGCAAGACCUACAAGUCGCGCAGGUGCGAAAGCAGAACUUAGCGACCCGACGACACUUUAUAGAACGGUCGGAGACAACGGAUAAAAGUUACCCCGGGGAUAACAGGCUGGUACCGCCCGAGAGUCCAUAUCGACGGCGGUGUUCGGCACCUCGAUGUCGGCUCACCCUAUCCUGGAGCUGAAGCAGGUUCCAAGGGUUUGGCUGUUCGCCAAUUAAAAGGGUACGCGAGCUGGGUUCAGACCGUCGUGAGACAGGUUGGUCUUUAUCUGCUGCAGGCGUUUGGUAUUUGAGGGAAGUCGACCCUAGUAAGAAAUUGCUACUUUACGGAGAAAUCCGUAAUGACAAUGUGGCUCAUAACGGUGAAGUCUUCAUUAGUUUUCUGGUUAGUACGGCGAGUAGCAUUCAGUCGGUCCA
rnacentral:rRNA from 1 species